rnacentral:rRNA from 1 species
UACGGAGGGGGCUAGCGUUGUUCGGAAUUACUGGGCGUAAAGCGCGCGUAGGCGGAUCUGCAAGUCGGGGGUGAAAUCCCGAGGCUCAACCUCGGAACUGCCUUCGAUACUGCGGGUCUCGAGUCCGGGAGAGGUGAGUGGAAUUCCUAGUGUAGAGGUGAAAUUCGUAGAUAUCAGGAGGAACACCAGUGGCGAAGGCGGCUUUCUGGACGGUAACUGACGCUGAGACGCGAAAGCGUGGGGAGCAAACAGG